GUGCUGCAGCUGCCAAUCUUGGCCAGGAUUCCACUAAAUGGAGCCUCAGUGGGAUCUUCCUGGUCGGGAGUGAAUCGCCAGUGUCUGGGACAGGAACCACUGGAAGUGGAGACAGCAGGGACCCCCUACUCACCCUGGCAAAAAGAG